rfam:Neotoma lepida isolate 417 scaffold_786, whole genome shotgun sequence.
CUAAAGGCCCUUUUUAGGGCCACCACACGUUCAAAAAGGAGCUAAA